CGUGGCCCAAUGGUAUCAUGUCCGGCUGUAGAGCCAGAGACAGUGGGUUCAACCCCG
rnacentral:tRNA from 1 species